AUGACUACCGCCACGGUGGCGACAGAACCGCGCAAUGCCGCCCUAGAUGGCAAGCACACGACUCCACAGCCGACAGGGACGCCGGAGCACGGUGAAUCGGCCGUAGUCUCGACGAAACUCGAUCGGAAAUUGACCAAAAAGGAAGGGGGCGCAAAAUCGCAGGCAGGAAAUGUGAGCACGGGAGGGAGUCUUACCUUCAAUCUGCGGCUCUCCGGCGACGACGCUCCGGUCCGGCGAGCCCCACCAACGGCCGCGAAUGCGGUCGACUCUUCCGCCGCCGCCACCGUCGCGUUCUCCUCUCGGUUUCUCCUCGCAAUCGACUGCAACUGCACCUACGGGGCCAACCUUGAGCUGCUAUCCGCCGCGCUCCGCAAGAACGCCUCGUCCGCCCUCUUCACCAAGGGCUCCGUCGGCGCUGCCCCGGACACCGUCUACGGCAUCGGGCUCUGCCGCGGCGACGUGUCCGCCUGCGGCGACUGCAUCGGCGCCGCGUUCGGCGACGCGCAGCAGCUGUGCGCGUUGAACAAGGACGCUCGUGUCCUGCACGAGACCUGCGUCCUCAGCUACUCCAGCCAUGACUUCGCCUCAUACGGCCGUGAUGCCACCGAAAGUUUACUAGUGGUCGUCUGGCCCGACGACGUCAAAGUCAAGCCCAUGCAUGCUGGCAACGGCGAGAGCGUCGUCAGUGACAUGAUCGACGAGACUGCCAUGAUGGCGGCGUACAGCUUGACAACGGCGAGCUACGCCACCGGCCGCGUCGAUGUCAACAGCACCGGCGCCUCACCGGCGUCGAUCUACUCUUUGGCGCAGUGCAACCCAGACCUGCCGCCUGAUGACUGCUGGGACUGCCUCGACGGCAUCAAGAAGAUGUUCGUUGGGAGAUACUGUAGCUGUGGCUCCGUCGUCAGCCGGCAAGGUGCAUGGGUUGUCGGUGUGUGGUGCAAUUUCAGGUACGCUACUCACCAGUUCUACCAAGGCCAGCCCAUGUAUAUGAAAAGCAUUGGAUCGGGUGUUGGACGAAACGUAAGGAACACGACCACACACACGACGCCGUCGCCGGCGCCUGCCGUUCUGCCAAGCCAGAUAUACAAGAACGACAGAUCGGUUCUCCCUAGAACCCAGAUAGCUGGCACCCACGUUGCCAAUGAGGCGAAACUGAAACAGAACUUGCAAGCCCAGACCACACUACGCAGGAGCACCCUCGUCGUCUCCGGCUCAGUCAUACACUCGGACGAGAGCUGCCGGCCGAAGUUACAGAAGCAUUGGGACAACAUUAAGAGAUAUCACCAAACAGGGGCAAAAAGCAGGACUUGCCGGAGCACACGGCUCCCACCAAACUGGCGUACCGUUGUCGCCGCAGAGGGGAACCUGAUCCCCUCUCGCCCAGGAACGAGGGCGUCGAUCCGCCGGCGAUCUUGGCAGGGACACUCCAUACUAGCAGCCCAUGAAAAGAUGCCGACAAGAAAGAUCAAGUUGGCGCCCGCCGCCCCCACACCCACCACCACUCACUUGCCACCCCUGCGAUCCCCGGACGAAGCCUCCAAGAAGGAACACGACAAAUAG
rnacentral:rRNA from 1 species